AGGUUAAGCUACAAAGAGCACACGGAGGAUGCCUAGGCGCCAGGAGCCGACGAAGGACGUGGCGAACAACGAUAAGGCCUCGGGGAGCUGUAAGCAAGCUUUGAUCCGGGGAUGUCCGAAUGGGGAAACCCGGCUGUCUUCAUCGACAGUCACUUUCUGCUGAAUACAUAGGCAGAAUAGAGGCAGACCAGGGGAACUGAAACAUCUAAGUACCCUGAGGAAGAGAAAACAAUAGUGAUUCCGUCAGUAGCGGCGAGCGAACGCGGAUUAGCCCAAACCAAGGAGCUUGCUCCUUGGGGUUGUGGGACGUCUCACAUGGAGUUACAAAGGAACCGGUUAGAUGAAGAGGUCUGGAAAGGCCCGCCAGAGAAGGUAAAAGCCCUGUAGUUCAAAACUUGUUCUCUCCGAGACGGAUCCCGAGUAGUGCGGGGCACGUGAAACCCCGUAUGAAUCCGGCAGGACCAUCUGCCAAGGCUAAAUACUCCCUGGCGACCGAUAGUGAAGCAGUACCGUGAGGGAAAGGUGAAAAGCACCCCGGAAGGGGAGUGAAAUAGAUCCUGAAACCGUGUGCUUACAAGAAGUCAGAGCCCGAUCUAUGGGUGAUGGCGUGCCUUUUGUAGAAUGAACCGGCGAGUUACGUUCCCGUGCAAGGUUAAGGUGAAGAGCUGAAGCCGCAGCGAAAGCGAGUCUGAAUAGGGCGAAUGAGUACGUGGACGUAGACCCGAAACCGGGUGAUCUACCCCUGUCCAGGGUGAAGGUGCGGUAACACGCACUGGAGGCCCGAACCCACGCAUGUUGAAAAAUGCGGGGAUGAGGUGGGGGUAGCGGAGAAAUUCCAAUCGAACCCGGAGAUAGCUGGUUCUCCCCGAAAUAGCUUUAGGGCUAGCCUCGGAAAUAGAAUCGUGGAGGUAGAGCACUGAUUGGGUGCGGGGCCCGCAAGGGUUACCAAGCUCAGUCAACUCCGAAUGCCAUAGAUUUAGUUCCGGGAGUCAGACAGUGAGUGCUAAGAUCCAUUGUCGAAAGGGAAACAGCCCAGACCAUCAGCUAAGGUCCCCAAGUGUGUGUUAAGUGGGAAAGGAUGUGGAGUUGCACAGACAACCAGGAUGUUGGCUUAGAAGCAGCCACCAUUGAAAGAGUGCGUAAUAGCUCACUGGUCGGAGUGACUCUGCGCCGAAAAUGUAACGGGGCUAAACACACCACCGAAGCUAUGGCUUGAUGCUUGCAUCAGGGGUAGGGGAGCGUUGAAUGCGGGUUGAAGGUGUACCGUAAGGAGCGCUGGACUGCAUUCAAGUGAGAAUGCCGGUAUGAGUAACGAAAAGAUCUGUGAGAAUCAGAUCCGCCGAAAGCCUAAGGGUUCCUGAGGAAGGUUCGUCCGCUCAGGGUAAGUCGGGACCUAAGGCGAGGCCGAUAGGCGUAGUCGAAGGACAACAGGUCGAAAUUCCUGUACCACCGUAAUCCGUUAUGAGCGAUCCGGUGCGAGGACAGUGUCAGGUGGGCAGUUUGACUGGGGCGGUCGCCUCCUAAAGAGUAACGGAGGCGCCCCAAGGUUCCCUCAGAAUGGUUGGAAAUCAUUCGAAGAGUGCAAAGGCAGAAGGGAGCUUGACUGCGAGACCUACAAGUCGAGCAGGGACGAAAGUCGGGCUUAGUGAUCCGGUGGUACCGCAUGGAAGGGCCAUCGCUCAACGGAUAAAAGCUACCCUGGGGAUAACAGGCUUAUCUCCCCCAAGAGUCCACAUCGACGGGGAGGUUUGGCACCUCGAUGUCGGCUCAUCGCAUCCUGGGGCUGAAGUAGGUCCCAAGGGUUGGGCUGUUCGCCCAUUAAAGCGGUACGCGAGCUGGGUUCAGAACGUCGUGAGACAGUUCGGUCCCUAUCUGUCGUGGGCGUAGGAAAUUUGAGAGGAGCUGUCCUUAGUACGAGAGGACCGGGAUGGACGUACCGCUGGUGUACCAGUUGUUCCGCCAGGAGCACCGCUGGGUAGCUAUGUACGGAAGGGAUAAGCGCUGAAAGCAUCUAAGCGUGAAGCCCCCCUCAAGAUGAGAUUUCCCAGUAUGUAAGACCCCUUGAAGACGACGAGGUAGAUAGGUUGGGGGUGGAAGUGCAGUAAUGCAUGGAGCUGACCAAUACUAAUCGGUCGAGGGCUUAUCCUAAA
rnacentral:rRNA from 1 species